rnacentral:rRNA from 1 species
AUGAACGCUGGCGGCGUGCCUCAUACAUGCAAGUCGAGCGAACAGACGAGGAGCUUGCUCCUCUGAUGUUAGCGGCGGACGGGUGAGUAACACGUGGAUAACCUACCUAUAAGACUGGGAUAACUUCGGGAAACCGGAGCUAAUACCGGAUAACAUGUUGAACCGCAUGGUUCAACAGUGAAAGACGGUCUUGCUGUCACUUAUAGUUGAAUCCGCGCCGCAUUAGCUAGUUGGUAAGGUAACGGCUUACCAAGGCAACGAUGCGUAGCCGACCUGAGAGGGUGAUCGGCCACACUGGAACUGAGACACGGUCCAGACUCCUACGGGAGGCAGCAGUAGGGAAUCUUCCGCAAUGGGCGAAAGCCUGACGGAGCAACGCCGCGUGAGUGAAGAAGGUCUUCGGAUCGUAAAACUCUGUUAUUAGGGAAGAACAAAUGUGUAAGUAACUAUGCACGUCUUGACGGUACCUAAUCAGAAAGCCACGGCUAACUACGUG